rnacentral:rRNA from 1 species
AACGAACGCUGGCGGCAUGCCUAACACAUGCAAGUCGAACGAGACCUUCGGGUCUAGUGGCGCACGGGUGCGUAACGCGUGGGAACCUGCCUUUAGGUUCGGAAUAACUCAGAGAAAUUUGAGCUAAUACCGGAUGAUGUCUUCGGACCAAAGAUUUAUCGCCUUUAGAUGGGCCCGCGUUGGAUUAGCUAGUUGGUGGGGUAAAGGCCUACCAAGGCGACGAUCCAUAGCUGGUCUGAGAGGAUGAUCAGCCACACUGGGACUGAGACACGGCCCAGACUCCUACGGGAGGCAGCAGUGGGGAAUAUUGGACAAUGGGCGAAAGCCUGAUCCAGCAAUGCCGGGUGAGUGAUGAAGGCCUUAGGGUUGUAAAGCUCUUUUACCCGAGAUGAUAAUGACAGUAUCGGGAGAAUAAGCUCCGGCUAACUCCGUG